GCCCUCGUAGCUCAACUGCAUAGAGCAGUCCCGUCCUAAGGGAAAGGUUGCAGGUUGGAGUCCUGCCGGGGGCACCA
rnacentral:tRNA from 1 species